UUUUGGACAAUGGGGGCAACCCUGAUCCAGCAAUGCCGCGUGAGUGAAGAAGGCCUUCGGGUUGUAAAGCUCUUUUGUCAGGGAAGAAACACCGGCUCUAACACAGUCCGGGAAUGACGGUACCUGAAGAAUAAGCACCGGCUAACUACGUGCCAGCAGCCGCGGUAAUACGUAGGGUGCAAGCGUUAAUCGGAAUUACUGGGCGUAAAGCGUGCGCAGGCGGUUAUACAAGACAGGCGUGAAAUCCCCGGGCUUAACCUGGGAAUGGCGCCUGUGACUGUAUAGCUAGAGUACGGUAGAGGGGGAUGGAAUUCCGCGUGUAGCAGUGAAAUGCGUAGAUAUGCGGAGGAACACCGAUGGCGAAGGCAAUCCCCUGGACCUGUACUGACGCUCAUGCACGAA
rnacentral:rRNA from 1 species